rnacentral:rRNA from 1 species
GACGAACGCUGGCGGCGUGCUUAACACAUGCAAGUCGAACGAUGAAGCUGGCAGCUUGCUGUUGGUGGAUUAGUGGCGAACGGGUGAGUAACACGUGAGUAACCUGCCCCCUUCUUCGGGAUAAGCUUGGGAAACUGGGUCUAAUACCGGAUAUUCUGCGAUUGCCGCAUGGUGGUUGUGGGAAAGAUUUUUUUGGUGGGGGAUGGGCUCGCGGCCUAUCAGCUUGUUGGUGGGGUAGUGGCCUACCAAGGCGUCGACGGGUAGCCGGCCUGAGAGGGUGACCGGCCACACUGGGACUGAGAUACGGCCCAG